AACGAACGCUGGCGGCGUGGCUAAGACAUGCAAGUCGAACGGACUGGUCAAUUUAUUGAGCAGUUAGUGGCGAAAGGGUUAGUAAUGGAUAGGUAACGUGCCCUGUGCUCCGGGACAGCGUCAUUCGCCUUCGGGCGAAUUUCCGAAAGGGGCAGUAAUACCGGAAAUAUCAUGUGUCGAUGGGCAUAUGUUCAAAGAUUUAUCGGCGCAGGAGCGACCUAUCUCCUAUCAGCUUGUUGGUGAGGUAACUGCUCACCAAGGCGAUGACGGGUAGCGGGACUGAGAGGUUGACCCGCAACAUCGGGACUGAGACACUGCCCGGACCUCCACGGAGGGCUGCAGUAACGAAUCUUGCGCAAUGGGCGAAAGCCUGACGCAGCGACGCCGCGUGCGGGAAGAAGUCCUUCGGGAUGUAAACCGCUGUCAGGGGUAAGAAAGUCCAUUUCGGUGGAUUGAUCUAACCCAAAGGAAGUCACGGCUAACUUCGUGCCAGCAGCCGCGGUAAGACGAAGGUGGCAAGCGUUGUUCGGUAUCACUGGGCUUAAAGCGUGUGUAGGCGGAAAAGUAAGCGUCGCGUGAAAGCCCCCGGCUCAACCGGGGAACUGCUCGACGAACUGCUUUUCUUGAGGCAAGCAGGGGUGCACGGAACUCUUGGUGGAGCGGUGGAAUGCGUAGAUAUCAAGAGGAACGCCAGUGGAGAAAUCGGUGCACUGGGCUUGUUCUGACGCUGAGACACGAAAGCGUGGGGAGCGAACGGGAUUAGAUACCCCGGUAGUCCACGCCGUAACCGAUGUCUACUAGGUUGUGGUGGUUCUGACACCAGCACGGCCGAAGCAAAAGUGAUUAGUAGACCGCCUGGGGAGACGGUCGCAAGGCU
rnacentral:rRNA from 1 species